GUUGGUUGCCAACCGCCAGUUAAACACUAAAGAAGAAGAAGAAGAUGAUUUGGUCACAUGCUUAGAAGUUUGAAUUGACAAACGGUUGUCAGAUUUGCGCGGGUGUUUUCAAUUCAAUGCUUUUAGGUAAGCCAAUCUCGGAUAUCAUGGAGCUGCAUUGUCGUUUUGGAAUAAGGAUGUAAUGUUUCUUCUGCGUUUCGAACGAAGGGUCGGAGCGUCAUCGGUGGAACAUCUCGGGGUUUCUCCAUGUACGACGUGCAAUCGUAUUACGGUGUUUUUCUCGUGGACGUUUCUCUGUCUAGAUAGUGAGAGAUAAACCAUUGCCCCGUUGAUCCACUGCUGAUGUCGGUCUGUUUACAGGUAUG